CCUUCGGGUACAAUUGAGACAGGUGGUGCAUGGUUGUCGUCAGCUCGUGUCGUGAGAUGUUGGGUUAAGUCCCGCAACGAGCGCAACCCUUGUGUUUAGUUGCAAACAGGUAAUGCUGUGCACUCUAGACAGACUGCCGUGGACAACACGGGAGGAAGGUGGGGAUGACGUCAAAUCAUCAUGCCCCUUAUGAUCUGGGCUACACACGUGCUACAAUGGCCGGUACAACGGGCAGCGAAAGAGCGAUCUGGAGCGAAUCCUAAAAAGCCGGUCCCAGUUCGGAUUGCAGGCUGAAACUCGCCUACAUGAAGUUGGAGUUGCUAGUAAUCGCGAAUCAGAAUGUCGCGGUGAAUGCCGGUUCCCGGGUCUU
rnacentral:rRNA from 1 species